AAAGUUAAAGAGUCUAAUUCAGUCUUCUUGUUUCUGCAGCAGCAGCUCCAUGGCAUUCCCCUGCCAAGGCCAGGCUGAGAUUUUAUAUGAAAACCAGGAGAGAUUGCUCUGCUGAAAAUCUGUCUGGUACUGUUACUGCCACGUAUACAGCCAUUAUCUUCUGCAUAAGCAGAGGGGAAACUUUCUUGGGAAACUCUUUCACAUUUGCCCUUAAGCAAAAUCUACAGCUGUUAAGUUGCAGGAGUGAAAUGAGUUGGUGAUCUCAGUCCAGUCCCUUGCAGAUAGGUGUCUACAUAACAAAACCACGCAACUGUCCACUGAGCAGGCAGCUCCAGCAGCAAGACCUAGGACUAAGUGGACAUGAAGAAGGAACUAAUAUCUCAUCCCUGUAAGUAGCCCAUUAAGGUCAGGGUUGUGGCAAACUGAUGGGGCAGCAAAGCUUGCUUGGAUGUUGCGUGUACUGUCUGCAGAUAUCCAAAGGACUUCAUUUCCCAGAACCUUUUGUGCUCUUUGAAUUCCCUUAUCUUUUUUGGUAAAUCAGAGAUGAAGAUUAUAAACGGCAAUCAGUAUGCAACAGUUUACUUUUGAUUACAUUAUGUUUCCAGUUAUAUAUACAGCAUAAAUGCUGUCAUCAGUGCUGUAGUAGCUAAGGUUUUAAAACCAGUUCCUGAAAGGACUUCAGUUUCAAAUUCGAAUGAGCUAUCAGAUGUCUGAAGAAUGAAGCUGGUUUGGACCUGCAGAUUGGCAAGAGAGGGUUCAACACCGCAAAUAUGCUACUCAUCUGCGUACCUCUACAUCAGAAACAGAUGAAGUAGUUGAAUGAUUACAGACUUGGCCAAGUGUUCCAAUACAAAAGAAAAGACAAUUAUUUAAACAAAUCGAGAUUCUCUUGAAUCCAUGGAAAACAUAUUAGACAUUAAUACAGCCUUUGACAGCACAUUUCAUAGCCUACCACUUUUUAAAGACAUGCUGUACAAUGGAUACUAUAGGUUGGCCGAGUAAUCAAACAGUUACACCAACAGAUGGAGCCGCCACAGGAAAAGGAAAGAGAAGAAGAGGAAAGGGUAAGAAGAAGAAGAGGAGGAAGAAAUACAAGGGAGAUAUAAUAAGGCCACCCAGAAGUCAAUGGCACUACUUGUGGAUUAAUGUGCUACUAAGUCACCAGUCUGGAUCAUCAACGCAGCAGCUAAUCUUUUAUUUUACAAUCUUAAAUGAGUUUAAUGUUAUAUAAGUCGAUGUUUUAAGACUUUGAAAUACAGCCCAAAAGAUCUGGUUAAGCAACUAAGUACUUGGAGAUUUGUUCACCCUUUUUCUCUUCUUAAACAAAUUCUAUAAAUGUAUCUUUUAGCUGGAGAAUAAUUACGUUUUUAUGAAGCUGCUUUAUGUUUUCUAGCUAAUUGUUUCAGUUGUAAGUUGGCAAGCAAUGUUCAUGUUCCAGAAAGAUAAAGCUGUCAGGUUCUAAAUGUAACUGUAUACUUCAGGCUUACCAAUGAACAGCAUCCAUUACUACAUCAGCUGCUACCAUUAGGUAGGAAAAAAAGGUGGGAAGUGCAGAAACCUCGAAGGUCUGCCAUUUUUCAUGCGGAGAGAUCUCUUCUUCCCUGUUAUAUUUCCGUCCUCUUCUUUCUUAAGCACCAUUACUUAACCAAAAAACAAAAACCAAAUCCAAACUAAACAAACAUCAACAACCUGAGAUGCAGCAGUGUGCUUGUAAGGACCUCUUGAUGCCCACUGGCAGAGGACACAGAGGUACAUGGAUCCUCUGGGAUCACCAAAAGAAUGUCAAGUAAGGUCUCUAAUGAAAGCCUGUGUCAUGCUGCGCAUCAUAAUCACUGCAAGAUGCAUACAUGGGAAAUAUGUGAGGAGUUAGGUACAUAUGCUGAAAAUUAUGUUCUCUGGCCUUGUAUCAAUUAUCCUGCUGUCACAGGAGCGAGUGAGCGGGGCCAUAGCAGUGAGCUGCUGAGGGCUCCCGGUGCUGCCACAGGGCCGGUGAGACUCGAUCCUUGCAGGCACAAGGGGCAGGGAAGGCUGUGGUUCUGGCUGGGGUCUCCGCUCUGCCCAGCACCUUUUACCUGCAGAGAUCGGGUGUCACC